UACGUAGGGGGCAAGCGUUGUCCGGAUUUAUUGGGCGUAAAGAGCUCGUAGGCGGUCUGUCGCGUCGAUCGUGAAAACUUGGGGCUUAACCCUGAGCUUGCGGUCGAUACGGGCAUGACUGGAGUUCGGCAGGGGAGACUGGAAUUCCUGGUGUAGCGGUGAAAUGCGCAGAUAUCAGGAAGAACACCUAUGGCGAAGGCAGCACUCUGGGACGGUACUGACGCUGAGACGCGAAAAGCGUGGGGGAGCGAACAGG
rnacentral:rRNA from 1 species